rnacentral:rRNA from 1 species
UACGUAGGGUGCGAGCGUUGUCCGGAAUUAUUGGGCGUAAAGAGCUUGUAGGCGGUUUGUCGCGUCUGCCGUGAAAAUUCGAGGCUCAACCUCGAACUUGCGGUGGGUACGGGCAGACUAGAGUGUGAUAGGGGAGACUGGAAUUCCUGGUGUAGCGGUGAAAUGCGCAGAUAUCAGGAGGAACACCGAUGGCGAAGGCAGAUCUCUGGGCCACUACUGACGCUGAGAAGCGAAAGCAUGGGGAGCGAACAGG